rnacentral:rRNA from 1 species
UACGUAGGUGGCGAGCGUUGUCCGGAUUUACUGGGCGUAAAGAGCGCGCAGGCGGUCGUGCAAGUCGCGUGUGAAAGCCCCCGGCUCAACUGGGGAGGGUCACGCGAUACUGCUCGACUCGAAGGCAGGAGAGGGAAGUGGAAUUCCCGGUGUAGUGGUGAAAUGCGUAGAUAUCGGGAGGAACACCAGUGGCGAAGGCGACUUCUUGGCCUGUUCUUGACGCUGAGGCGCGAAAGCUAGGGGAGCAAACGGGG